UUAAAUUGAAGAGUUUGAUCAUGGCUCAGAUUGAACGCUGGCGGCAGGCCUAACACAUGCAAGUCGAACGGUAACAGGAAACAGCUUGCUGAUUUCGCUGACGAGUGGCGGACGGGUGAG
rnacentral:rRNA from 1 species